ACGGGAGGCAGCAGUGGGGAAUAUUGGGCAAUGGGCGCAAGCCUGACCCAGCAACGCCGCGUGAAGGAAGAAGGUUUUCGGAUUGUAAACUUCUGUCCUUGGUGACGAAGGAAGUGACGGUAGCCAAGGAGGAAGCCCCGGCUAACUACGUGCCAGCAGCCGCGGUAAUACGAGGGGUGCAAGCGUUGUUCGGAAUCACUGGGCGUAAAGGGAGCGCAGGCGGAGAUGCAAGCAGUCUGUACAAUACCGGGGCCCAACCCCGGACCUGCAGACUGGACUGUUUCUCUUGGAUAGUUCAGGGGCAAGCGGAAUUCCUGGUGUAGCGGUGGAAUGCGUAGAGAUCAGGAAGAACACCGAUGGCGAAGGCAGCUUGCUGGGGACUUAUCGACGCUCAUGCUCGAAAGUGCGGGUAGCAAACAGGAUUAGAUACCCUGGUA
rnacentral:rRNA from 1 species